UACAGAGGGUGCAAGCGUUGUUCGGAUUUACUGGGCGUAAAGGGCGCGCAGGCGGCUCAUUUUGUCAGGCGUGAAAGCCCCGGGCUUAACCUGGGAACUGCGUUUGAUACGGAUGGGCUAGAGUUCGGGAGAGGAGAGUGGAAUUCCCAGUGUAGAGGUGAAAUUCGUAGAUAUUGGGAAGAACACCGGUGGCGAAGGCGGCUCUCUGGACCGAGACUGACGCUGAGGCGCGAAAGCGUGGGGAGCAAACAGG
rnacentral:rRNA from 1 species